AACUUAAGGAAUUGACGGGUCCCCGCACAAGCAGCGGAGCGUGUGGUUUAAUUCGUUGCUACACGAAGAACCUUACCUGGGUUUGACAUAGAGGUGGUAGGGAAGCGAAAGCGGACCGACCCUUCGGGGAGCCUCUACAGGUGUUGCAUGGCUGUCGUCAGCUCGUGUCGUGAGAUGUUCGGUUAAGUCCGCUAACGAGCGCAACCCUCGCUGUGUGUUACAAGUGUCACACGGUACUGCCGGUAUUAAGUCGGAGGAAGGUGGGGAUGACGUCAAGUCCUCAUGGCCUUUAUGACCAGGGCUACACACGUACUACAAUGGCCGGUACAAAGGGCAGCGACACAGCGAUGUGAAGCCAAUCCCGAAAAGCCGGUCUCAGUCCGGAUUGGAGUCUGCAACUCGACUCCAUGAAGUUGGAAUCGCUAGUAAUCGCGGAUCAGCACGCCGCGGUGAAUACGUUCCCGGGCCUU
rnacentral:rRNA from 1 species